AUCUCAGCCUCCUGAGUAGCUAGGCUUAGAGGCGUGAGCCACUAGUGCCCAGCAGUUGACUUGUUUCUAUUUUUGUUUUGUAAUUCUGCAGAGAUCUCAAAUUUCAAAAGCAAACAGCAACCCCAACAAAACCAUUCAGACUGAGUCACUGAUUCUGAGCAACUCUCAAGGAAAAACCCGGAUAACAGCACACACACACAUAAAGAGCAUCCAACAGUGGCGGUGUUUCUGGGCCAAUGACUCUUCAUACCUAGUAUAUUGGGUUUUGGGGGCUACUACUUUUUGAAGGUGAAUCAAAUUCUGGUUUUAACUAUCAAGUGGCUGUGAGGGCCUUAUGGGGCCAUUCCAGAUAAAUUAUGUUGAUUUCUGUUUGUAUCUCACCUCUCUUGUUGACCUAGUAAUGUAAAUUAGUUAUUUUCCCUCUUGGCUUCCUAUCCCUUCAACGGUGUGAUUAUGAACAUUAAAUGAGAUAGAUUUGUAAAACAGCAAGGGUUCUGAAAUGUUCACUUGAAUCUUGGUGCUUUUAUGAAACAGGAACUUCUGCCUUGACUGACUUGAAGCUGUCAUGGUGGUGAUGGCAAACAAGUCCAUUUGGGCAGAGUUAGUUCAAAACAGAUGUUUUGGUAUGGCCCUAUCUGACAAGAUCAAAAUGUGAAACAAUUCGUCUCUAUUACACUCUGCACGCAUAACAAAAUGUCCUUGGCCCUAACUCUCCUUGACUGCUUAUCUUUCACGCCAGCCCAUCCUAGCAUAUCUUCUCCAACCUUGGCUCCAGUGCUGGCCACAGAGGGGUGAAGCCAACGGUGGAUGUCUACAAGCUGAACGUUGAAAACCAUGGAAGAAACCAUCACUAACAUGAGUUUCCAAAGCUGCCUCUGAUGUUAUAACUAUAUUCCACCUUCCUCACAACAAGAUUGCAAUUGGUUGGCUUGCAUUUUCCUAAACCUGAGAAUAAAUCAUGCUUGUGUUGCCUGGACGUGAGCCAUUUGGGAUAUUAGUCUUUGAGUGGAAGCACUUAAAACAUGUUCACACGUUGUAUCCUAAUUAUUCUCCUUUCUGAAACAGAGUUCAGAAUAAUAAUAAUAAUAAUACCCCGUCAUUAAGUUUGUGCUUCCUAUGUGCCAGCCUCUAUAUCAAAAAAAGAUUAAGCAGUAUCUAAGAGAUUGGCCCACUUAAUGGCAGAGAGAUUACAGGAAAUCAGGAAAAUUCACUCAGCUGAAGAGUAACUAAUUUAGCCUCUAUCUCUCAGAUUAUGGGUUAUCAGAGUCUCUGGGGGUGGUUGCCUCUAAUUUCCUCUGAGUCCUCAGGAUUAUUCCGAGAUUCAUUGGAGAUAAGAGAAGAGAGAAAAAGGAGGUUUAUUUUACAAGGAAAGAGUUAAAGUUCUUUUUCCUAUCUAAAAUAUUUAUGGUUAAAUUCAUGAGGACACCUUCACAUAGUCUUAAGAGUCUCCUUCCUCAUAGACACAUUGCAGUCUUGCUAACUGUGCCCCUUCUGUUAGAAAAA